rnacentral:rRNA from 1 species
UACGUAGGGUGCAAGCGUUAUCCGGAAUUAUUGGGCGUAAAGAGCUCGUAGGCGGCUUGUCGCGUCUGCUGUGAAAACCGGAGGCUCAACCUCCGGCCUGCAGUGGGUACGGGCAAACUAGAGUGCGGUAGGGGAGAUUGGAAUUCCUGGUGUAGCGGUGGAAUGCGCAGAUAUCAGGAGGAACACCGAUGGCGAAGGCAGAUCUCUGGGCCGUAACUGACGCUGAGGAGCGAAAGCGUGGGGAGCGAACAGG